rnacentral:tRNA from 1 species
AGGUAGCUCAGUGGUAGAGUGCUUGCCUUGCAUGCAUGAGGCCAUGGGUUCGAUUCCUCAGCACUA